GAAGGGUUAUGUUUUAAUGGUAGAGCAUCUGUUUUUCAUGCAGAAUGUCCCAGAUUCAACCCCAGGUAUCUUCA
rnacentral:tRNA from 1 species